UCAAAUCUCAAAUUAAAUUUUAUUUACGAAGCCACUAGGGUUAGGGAUAAUUUUCACUCUUAUUUUGGUUGAUCCAGGGUUAGGGUUCCUAUUUCGCUAUCAUUGGUUCGUCUAGGUAGAAAGUGCAGAAAUUUAAAUAGAUGGUGUUUUUAGUAAUCUAUGUUUCUGUUUCUCCUAAAAAUUGCGAAUUAUUAUUAAAAAAAUUGUAGGUCACAAGAGUCCGAUUGAAGAAUUUUAUUCUCCCACAAGAGCAUCGACCUUUAUAUUUCAGGAUGUAAAGGAGCAGCAAUAUGGAUAUGCAUCAAGUUUCUCAUACCAUGCCUCCAGUUAUAAUAGCCUGAUGGUGCUUGGAGAAUGGAGAUAUCAGGUGUUUAGCCUUAGAGAAGAUGUUUUAGAGAUCAGAUCACCCACAAAUCAGAACUUGAUUUCCUCUUUUGGAUUAAUGAUAAAGGUGUACACAUAAUACUUUGCUCGGUGAAAUGAAAGCAGAUUUAAUAUGAGAUUAUGUGGCAGUUGGGAGUCAGAUUUUACUUGGUUUCUCUUUAAAUCAAUCGGACAUAGAGCACAUGACUGGCUAAAUAGAAUGAAGAAGAUUUUUAAGGUAGUUUCCCAUAUUCCUUAGUUGCAACCAUGGGUACUGUGUCAAGAUGGUAUCAAAGGUUUCUUCUGUGGGCCGCGCCAUACUGUGCAGGGAGGUUCUUUUUUAUGUUGUUGGCAUGAGACUCUUAUGUCAGUUUAUAAAGAGGUGUACAAGUAUGAUGACUAUGACAGCUAACAAUUCGAGUUUAAUUCUCAUA